rnacentral:rRNA from 1 species
AGUGAACGCUGGCGGUAGGCCUAACACAUGCAAGUCGAACGGCAGCACAGGAGAGCUUGCUCUCUGGGUGGCGAGUGGCGGACGGGUGAGGAAUACAUCGGAAUCUACUCUGUCGUGGGGGAUAACGUAGGGAAACUUACGCUAAUACCGCAUACGACCUACGGGUGAAAGCAGGGGACCUUCGGCCCUUCCGCGAUCGAAUGAGCCGAUGUCGGAUUAGCUAGUUGGCGGGGUAAAGGCCCACAAAGGCGACGGUCCGUAGCUGGUCUGAGAGGAUGAUCAGCCACACUGGAACUGAGACACGGUCCAGACUCCUACGGGAGGCAGCAGUGGGGAAUAUUGGACAAUGGGCGCAAGCCCGAUCCAGCCAUACCGAGUGGGUGAAGAAGGCCUUCGGGUUGUAAAGCCCUUUUGUUGGGAAAGAAAUCCAGCUGGCUAAUACCCGGUUGGGAUGACGGUACCCAAAGAAUAAGCACCGGCUAACUUCGUGCCAGCCGCCGCGGUAA